CUUACUGCUAUAAUUUAAAGCAACAGAAUUCAACUGUUAAUUGAAUGCUUAGGAGGUCCAAGAUCUUGGAUAGCCCAAAGAUAAGGGAAAGCAAGUACUUGUUAUAAUUCAAGGUGAAAGGGAAGACACACACACGCACAUAUAAAUAUAUAUCAAAAGUGUCCAACAUCACUAGUAGAAUGCAAUAGGGUAUGGCAUUGGUAGGAAGAAAAUAUAUUCUGUAGAGGAAAAUUCUUCUCCAAAGAGAUUGCUGAAGCCUAGAGACAGCUUUGAAUGAAAAGCAAUUUCCCAUUACAGAGGUCAACUUUAACCUAUCAUAGUGUUUGAAUGAAGAAUCUAAUAGAAGGAGAAUUCAAACAUUCAUAAUUAGGCAGCCUUUGAUAGUUGCAAGAAUCAAAGUUAGUAUAAAAUGAGCCAUUAAAUUGUGACAGAAGCAUGAAUCUGUGACAAUUUCCAAUCCUAUCAGCAACCCUUUUGCCUCGCAAUAAAGCCAGUUAGCUCUGAGGACUGUGACUGCCUGGUCAUAGGUCCAAAUCUCAGCCAUGUGGCACACAUGGUCAUGCUUUUUGCUUUUUCGGAUGAUGGCUUGGCUCAUUUUCUCUUGGUUAUGGUCGCACUCCAGUUAGGUCAAUUUCCAUUAAUUGUCUGCCACAUGGUUUGGUCCAUUAAUCGAGCAGAAAAGCUCUGAAUUGACUCUACCAAUCAGCCAUGUCUUAUCACUGAACUCUAAACUCCCUCCAAUUAACCAAUGUAAUUAGGCGAAUCUUGACAACCAAAACUGACCCUUUUCUCACACACCCUCAACGUUAAAGAUGUCAUAUGCAUCCUCUACAGUAGUCUCAAAUAGUCCUGUUGGUUACACCUUAACUGCUCCGUGCCCCAAUGCAUGGAGAGCAUCCAACAUCUGUCAAAAACAUAUUGUCAUCUAUGUCCAAAUAACACCCAAUUAGGAUUUCAAUGGUUUUAUGCUCUUGCCAGAGCAUGUGCAUCAACUGAUGGCCAGGAAUCAGGAAUGAACCUGCGUGUGUAUUCCAUGGCCACUCGAAUUGAACAAUAUCGAUCUGUUCUACAUCAGUGUCCUUGAACUACAGGAACCAAAACGUUAGGGUGGACCCAGUGAAGGCCUGUCUGAAAUGCUCUAGUCUCUACCAUGCAUAUUCAGACACUGGCAUUUGCCCGGAUCAUGCUUACAAGGACUAGUGGGAACGGCAAAGCUCAAUGGCCCAGGUAAGGUUGAAGUUGAACUACAGAUGUCGCCUUCCAGCAUCUGUGCCCACCUGGUCGGCUGCUCAUCCUAACAAAAUCACCUAGCUCAAUAUACAUGCACCUAGAGGUAGGAAGCUUAAUACUGUCAGAUGAGUGGAUGAUUCAUUAUAGCCCACUUAAGAUUUGCAUGUGCGGGUGCCAGAAGCCAUUAAUGAAGAAAAUUAUUCUGAGGAUUGAGCGCAACUUUGUCAAAGAUGUAGUUGAAACCAGGGUUUAGUCCAACAAGAGAUCAAUCCAUAAAAAGAAGUAAAUUCUGGCUUGCAUGUGCUCUUCCCUUUUCUCCUCGCGCCACAAAUCUUCUACUGCUAGACUCCAAAAUCAAAAAGUGGGGCCAUUUCAUUAGACCUUAGGGAGUUUCCUUUUUGUUAGCAUUACUGCUAGCACUACAAUUUCUUGUGUUUAAACGCAUUCGGUGAAAGAGAUAAAGUGGUCAAAAAUGACCAUACUGUAAAAACUUAAAAAGGGAGUUUCUUUCUUUUAUGCUGUUUGAGAUUGAAAAUAAAUGGGUUGUUUGGACGGACACUUUUGUUUUCUUGUAUGAGAAUCGUUUCUUGGAAUGAACUUAGUUUUUUCUUGUAGCUUUUCUGUUUCAAACUUUAAAAUUUGGAGGCAGCUAAGCUUUAAUAAGUUUGGUCGUUGCUUUCAUUAGUCACUUGCAUUAAUUGAAAUACUGUAUGGUUGAGACUUGAUACUUUUCUCAUGUGUCUUCACUUGCAAUAGGUUUUUCCCUUAGUUUGCCAUUAUUCCUUGAAGUCAUGGUGUCUUGUUUGCAUGCGAGGGAGAAACAGAGAUAACAGAGUAAAAGACAGAGGGGGAACUUAAAUAUGAAUAGACAAUCAUAUAUUAUAACCAUAUACCAACACUUCUGCACUUGUUUCUCUAAACCCAUCUAGAUUCUUUAGCAGAAUGCUUAAUGGUUUUAAGAGUAACAGGCCGAGGUUGUAAUCAUCGAAGUUGGGUAAAAAGGAGAAGGGGGGUGGGGGUGGGUGUGGGGGGAGGGUGGGGGUGGGUGGAGAGAGAAAAAUGAGUAAAAUAAUAAAAAUUUGGAAGGAAGAGGACAGUCCAUGAAACUUAACUAAAACGAUGUGAGGUGAACUUUGACGUCAUCAGCUUCCACAUUUUCCUUAACUUCCAUUUUUCUACUCACUUUUUUCUAACUAACCAUUGUCCAACAUGCUUAAUUAAAUCUCACUUGUAAUUAAGAAAUGUUGUGAUCAUUAAUCAACGGAUAUCACAAUCAGCAACGAGCUCCUUUCUUACAAUUGAGGGCACCUGAUCCCCCAGUUAUGGUACCCACAAGUGAAGAAGGUCUAGCACUCAAGCUUGAUGCCUUGGCAUAGCUUGAAGAAGCUCCAGCACCUGAAGCUGUGAAAAAUGCACCAUUCACCAAUAGGUCUCCCUCAGACCUCCAAUUCCAGUUCUUCCAUUCACUUUCUGGUGCAUCCUCAUGUUUUGUGACCUCUUUGCUGUAUCUAUAGUCAGGUGCAACAAAUCUGUUGCCUUGGCUAUUGAUGGUUGGGUCUGCACUGCCUCCAAUAGCAUACAUUUCCCAAUGGGUGUAGUCAUUGUUGACCACAUGGAAAUACCCAUGUCUACAUCUUGGCAUCCUUUGGACAAGCCCUUCUCCAAAGUGAUUGAAGGCUAUAGUGACCUGCAUGUUCUUGUCUUGAGCGUAGGAAUCGCUGUGACCUAGUAACAUUACUUUAUCAUGGUGGGUCAUGUAAUUGUUUGAAAUUGUGAUGGCUGUGGACCCAUGAAUUGCAUCAACCAGGCCGUCGUUACAAUUUGACAACGAGUUAUGGUCCACCCAAAUGUGGCUGCCACCAAAGAUGGACACUCCAUCACCGUCUGAUACAGUCCUCCACCCAUAGUGCUGCGGGGAGUCCCUCACAUAAGCAUUCCCUCCUUGCUUGCAGUCAUGUAUGUGCAGUCCAUGAAUAAUAAUAUUGGUCACAAAUUGUAUAGUAAUGCACGGACCACCAGCAAUGUGGACGCUAGCACCUCUACCAUCGAUAGUCUUAAACGAGUUCAUGAUCAGCUCUUCCUUCAGUUGAAUCGUCAUGUCACGAGCGAAAAUAAUCCACAAUGGCUCAUCUUGAAUCACUGCAUGUCUCAGAGUCCCUGGCUUAGGGUUCACAGGAUCAUCUUCACCAGAAUCUGUCACCACAUAAAUUUUUCCAUCUCUUCCUCCAAUGGCAUUCUUACCGAACCCAAUAGCACAAUCCGCCAGGCGCUGGCGGUUCUUAUCCCAAUUGGGGUCGCACCUCCAGCAAUCGUCAAUGGGGUUACCGGUUCCACAAGAGAGAUAACCCAAGUUCCUCCUGGAGGCAUUGAUGGCCCUAUGCACUUGGUGUACUACAAGCUCUGGGUCAUGAACUGGGGAAGAGGAAACAAGGGAAGGGAUGGUGAGGACAGAGAAGAGCAAUAGGAGAGCCAUUGGUGAGGUGUAGUGUGAGAGAUGGGAGGGAGAGAGCAAGUGUAUAUAAAGAGGAAAAAAAAAAGGGAUGAAAAAUGAACAUGUGGGACCCAGGUGAACUUCGUGAUUUCUGGAUUUACG
rnacentral:misc_RNA from 1 species